rnacentral:lncRNA from 1 species
AAUAAUUUGAUUACUGUGUUUCAGUAUAAUUGUUUUCAUUCAUAAUCCUAUGCAUAUCGUAUGCAUUUAAAAACAUAAUUCUGAAAGGGGGCUUUGUAUGCUUCAUGACUGCCAAAGGGAUCCAUGGCACAAAAAAAAAGGUUAAGAAUGUCUAGUAAGGAUUCUGGUAUUGUGAUUAAGAACAUGCAGUCUUUUUUUUUUUUUUUUUUUUAAAGUUACACAUACAUUUUGUGUCUCGGAUUCUUCAUGAAUGAAAUGGAAAUAAUACUACUUACCUAAAAGGCAUGCAGUGAAGAUGAAGAAAUAGCUGUAAAAGGUUUAACACAAUGCCAAGCAUAUAGUAUGCCAUUUAUCUCCAUCCACAUUGUCCAGAUUCAUUCAAGUCCUACUUACAUUUACUCUGCAUACAGAUUUUUGUUUUACCAUGCUGUCACUGGCUAAACUUAAAAUUACAUUACAAAAUGUUGGCUAGUUUCAAAUGAAAUUCAUAAAAUACAUGUGUGAUAUAAGGAAAAUUGAUACAACAAAGAUCCAUAUGCCCUCCAUCCAGGUUAAAGGGAAGUUAUUUUUAAAAGAAUGAACACAUAAUUUAGUAUCAAAACUAGGACCUUCUGAGAGUGAAAGAGGGUGCUCUUAGUUAUUACACUAGGAAAAUAGGCAAACAAGGACUAUUCUGACUAAACCAACAUGUAUAGUCACAUGUUGUAUGUUCCUUGUAUGCCCUUGCCUAAUCCAUUCCCUUCCUUCUGCAGCUAAAGAUCACUAUCUUGAUUUUUUGGUUAUCAUUCUUUUACUUUAUAGACUUAUUUCAUGUUUGUACUCAAAAUACUGUUUACUUUUAUUGGUUCUUUAAUUUGUAAACGUGGAAUCCUACUGUACUCCUCUUUUAUGAAUUGUUAUUUUGCACAACAUUGUUAGUGAUUCAUCCAUGUCCAUGGAUUUGUGAUUCAUUUUCCCUACGUUGUAGUACUGUACACAAUACAUUUAACCACUCUACUGUUGAUACACAGUUGGUUUAUUUCCAAUUUUUAUUGUUAUAAGCAAUUGUUAGGAAUUUUCUUGCUUAUAUAUCCUGAUACACAUUUCUCCUGGGCCAUAAAAGCAUCUUCAGGUUUCCUAGAUAAGAUCAAAUUAUUUUCCAAAUUGAUACAUCAAUUUAUACUUCAACCAUAAUGUAUAAUUGUUCUGGUGAUAUUGUCAAACUUUAAAAUUUUUCGUUAUGUGAUAGAUAUGAAAUGAUAUUUCCUUGUGGUUGAGCAUCUCUUCAGGUUUCCUUCCUCCUUUAUGAAUUGCCUAUUUAGAGUAUGGUAGUGAAGAACUUUAUUAAAAAAUUAAAUUGUAGUAAUUCUUUACAUAAUUUGAAUAUUAAUCCCUUUGCCAGUAAUAUGGGUUGUAAAGAUCUCCCAGUUUGUGUUUUGUCUUUUACUCUCCUUAUUAUGCCUUUUUUUUUUUACUUUUUAUUAUGGAAAAUUUUAAACAUAAAUAAAAGUAUGCAGAGUAGAAUAAUGAGCUUCCAUUUAUCUAUCACUUAGCUUCAACAAUUAUCCACUCAUAACCAAUUCUGCUUCAUUUAUAUAGUACUUUUCCCACCUCUUAAUAUUUUGAAGUAUAUUCCAGACAUUAUAUCAUUACAUAUCUAAAUAUUUCAGUAUAUAUCUAUAAAAAAUAGAUAUAUUUAUUAAUUUUUUGGUCUUUUUUUAGGGCUGCACCUGUGGCAUAUGGAGGCUCCCAGGGUAGGGGUCAAAACGAGCUACAGCUGCCGGCCUACACCACAGCCACAGGAAUGCUAGAUCUGAGCCACCUCUGUGACCUAUACCACAGCUCACUGCAAUGCUGGAUCCUUAAUCCACUGAGCGACGCCAAGGAUCUAAUCUGCGUCCUCAUGGAUCCUAGUCAGAUUUGUUUCUGCUGAGCCAUGAGCCACGAUGGGAACUCCUAAAAAACAAAUAUCUUUAAAGAUUACUCAUAACACAAAAAUAAUUUAUACAAGUUCCUAAUAUCAAUAAAUAUUCAAUAAGUAUCCACAUUUCCAAUGAUCUUAAGUGUGCUUGUGUUUUAAAGUUUGUUUGAAUCACGAUUUAGAACAAGUCUUGUGGUAGCAGGGCUCCCAAAUGAUACCCAAUGAUUUCUAUGCCCUGGUCCUUACAUCCUUGUAUAAUCUCUUCACAUGAUUUUGGUUGGUAUGUGAUCAACCUCUUGAUCACGUAUCUGUGUAAUGAGAGAUCAAAAAAGACAUAAAAGCCAUGGUGGCUUUUGUCUUUCUUUCUCUUAGAUUACUCGCCAGGCAGCUCUGUGGAGAGGCAUAUAUGGUGAGAAACUGAGGUAUCCUGCCAGUGAGAGUAAGCCAUCUUGGGAGUGGAUUCUCUAGCACAGAUUAAGCCACUAAAUGAUGGCAUCCUAGCUGACAGCUUGACUUCUACUUUACAGAGACCCUGAGCCAGACCACUCAGCUAAGCUACCCCUGGAUUUCUAACCCUCAGAUACUGAAUGAGAUAGAUAUGUUUGUUGCUUUAAAAAUUAUGUUUUGGGGAGUUCCUGUUGUGGUGCAGCAGAAUCUAAUCCGACUAGGAACCAUGAAGUUGUGGGUUCGAUCCGUGGACUCACUCAGUGGGUUAAGGAUUCAGUGUUGCCGUGAGCUGUGGCAUAGGUCGUAGACGUGGCUUGGAUCUGGCAUUGAUGUGGCUCUGGUGUAGGCUGGCAGCUAUAGCUCUGAUUGGACCCCUAGCCUGGGAAACUCCAUAUGCCGCGAGUGCAGCCCUAAAAAGACAAAAAAAAAAAAAAAAAAAA